AUGCCCCAAAAUUCAUUUAUUACUGCUACCAAGACAGUCAGUGCAGAUGUGUGUGUAUUUGAUUAUAGCAAGCACCCAUCAAAGCCUCCACUAGAUGGCGCGUGCAAUCCUGAUUUACGGCUGAAGGGACACAACUCUGAAGGAUAUGGCCUGUCUUGGAGUAUCUUUAAAGAGGGCCAUUUGCUGAGUGGAUCGGAUGAUGCUCAAAUUUGCUUAUGGGACAUCACAGAAAAUGGUAAAAAUAAAACUCUUGACGCAUACCAGAUUUUUAAGUUUCAUGAUGGCGUCGUUGAAGAUGUUGCUUGGCAUUUGAGGCAUGAAUACUUAUUCGGCUCAGUCGGGGAUGAUCAUCAUCUUCUAUUCAGAGGACGCGGAAGAUGA
rnacentral:rRNA from 1 species